UGGCAGCAAUGAUGUAUCCCAGAAUUAGGGCUUGGCUUCAGUUUGCAUCAUAGCGGGGGAUUGUUGUCAGUAGUUUGGUCCUCAGGUUAGCUGUUGCUUGGUUUUAUGCAGAUCGUUUCUGUCAAGAGAAUGAUUUCUUUGGAGUUAUUUUGUUUGUGUGUUAAUGGUAGUAAAUGGAGACACCGAAGAUGUCUUCAGGAGGUGAGAAAAAAGGUUUUAGGAUUAGCUGGUGGCUGUGGGAGGUACCACUGGAAGGAGCCAUGCACGUGUACCUCCAAGUACUUCCUGUUCAACAUGACUCCCAGCUGGCUUCCAAGGCAACAACUCUGUUGCUUCCUUCUUCUCCUUGGAGCUGAAACCUUCUGCAAAGAAGGCAGAAGAAACAAGUCAAGAGCAAGGAAGCUGAUACACCCACCAGACUGACCAUUAGAGCUCUGCUGAAGUGGCAGCUGUGUUCCUGCACGCAACCAUGAAACUACAAUUGAGCUGUUUCCAGCUUCAUGGUCUUUCUUACAAAUCUGCAGAAUCUUUACUUUAAAAUACUAAUACUAAUAGAAUAGAAUAAAAAUUGGUGAAAG
rnacentral:lncRNA from 1 species